AGCGAACGCUGGCGGCAGGCCUAACACAUGCAAGUCGAACGGACCCUUCGGGGUUAGUGGCGGACGGGUGAGUAACACGUGGGAACGUGCCUUUAGGUUCGAAAUAGCUCCUGGAAACGGGUGGUAAUACCGAAUGUGCCCUUCGGGGGAAAGAUUUAUCGCCUUUAGAGCGGCCCGCGUCUGAUUAGCUUGUUGGUGAG
rnacentral:rRNA from 1 species